GACGAACGCUGGCGGCGUGCUUAACACAUGCAAGUCGAACGGAAAGGCCCUGCUUUUGUGGGGUGCUCGAGUGGCGAACGGGUGAGUAACACGUGAGUAACCUGCCCUUGACUUUGGGAUAACUUCAGGAAACUGGGGCUAAUACCGGAUAGGAGCUCCUGCUGCAUGGUGGGGGUUGGAAAGUUUCGGCGGUUGGGGAUGGACUCGCGGCUUAUCAGCUUGUUGGUGGGGUAGUGGCUUACCAAGGCUUUGACGGGUAGCCGGCCUGAGAGGGUGACCGGCCACAUUGGGACUGAGAUACUGCCCAGACUCCUACGGGAGGCAGCAGUGGGGAAUAUUGCACAAUGGGCUGAAGCCUGAUGCAGCAACGCCGCGUGCGGGAUGACGGCCUUCGGGUUGUAAACCGCUUUCGCCUGUGACGAAGCGUGAGUGACGGUAAUGGGUAAAGAAGCACCGGCUAACUACGUG
rnacentral:rRNA from 1 species